CUGUCAGCAGCAGAGCGCGCGCACUUAACCACCAAGCCACGGGGCCGACCCCUAAUGUGUCAUUCUUUAUGAGGUGUAUGUGAGAAAGUUGGCUUCUUCUUGUAUAAUUAUUCUCUGAGGUUACUGCUCUGAGGUUUUGAUGAAUAAUAUAGGUAAAAAUGUUAAAUCUGAGAAACUGCUAUUAUUUGUGUGGUGCAGCCAAGUACACUGGAAAGAGCAUAAGCUUUGAGGUUGAAUUCAUACUCUCCCCGUUGUACAACCUGAACCUGGGUUUCCUCAUCUGUAAAAGGUGAAUAAUAACAUCUACCUUAUAUAAUUUUGUUAGGUUAAAUUAUAUGAUCUGAGUAAAGUGCUUGACAUAUAGCUGGGCUCCAAUAUGUAUCCUAGCUAUCACUAUUAUUAGUCUUAUUUUUGUUAUUGUCAUUGUUUUUAUAGCACACAAUUAUUUCCUUAAGGCCAUUGCUCUGCUAUAGUAGGCAUGAAUAAACAAAAAAACAACAAGAAAGUAAGGUGAGUCUAGAUUUAAUUUUGUUGUUCUACUACUUUUCCUUUCUAUAAUCUGUUAUUUUUCCUAUUAACUAUCACCUUUGUGUACUGUUAAAUUGUCUUUUUUUUCAAGUAAUCCUAACACAUGUCUGGAAAAAACACUGCAAGAGAACAUCAGGUAGGACUAUAAGUGUCAUAUAAUGAAGGAAAGAAGAGAGAGAAAGUGCAAAGAAUGACUUGAAACAGCAGACUCGAAAGAUCAAGAUAAGAACUGGCACCUCUGGACUGUAUUCUUUAACAUAUAUCACUGUAAUUUUCUAUGAAUAUACUUAGCGCCACCCUUCCUUUUUACAUUUGGAAUUGAGACUUACCUGGUAAAGAAUUUUUUCCCUUAGGGUAAAGAGCCUGCAGUGAAAUGAUUAUGUGUAUUGAAAGAGGGAAAGGAGUUAUUAAGAUAAGACAUUUGAACCAAAGAGUAAAAAUUCACAGGUUUAGAUGUGUGGUGCCGGGAAAUCCCAAGUAUCUAACCUCAUGAAUUGAUUUGCAAGAGGGAAGGAGGCCUUCAUUUAUUCAUUAAAAAAUGCCAGAUACAGGGAUAAAUGCUAGGUAUAUACAAGUACACAAGACUGAGAAGGUCACUGCUUAGCCUUUCAGACGGAAGUUUUUGUGUAGAUGACUGAGGAUAGGAAUUAAGGCAUCAGUAAACAGACUCUAAAUCAGCCCUAUAGAAUGUGUAAGCCCUGGGGAGACAAUGAGAAGGAAGAAAAAGAAAACAGAAAGCUGUUUUACAGAGGAAUUUUGUGAAAGAGGAAGGGACAAGCAUUGCUUUUCAAUGUUUAGAUAACAAAGUGAGUCACAGUAAUACAGGGACAUACUCGUAAUUUUUGCAAGGAACAUAAGUACAAUAAAGAGUGAAGCAAAUGCAGCACCAUGAGGUAUCUUGAGGGUUUGUGGGUUUGGCGGCACCAGGUGACAGCACCCAAGACAGGUAAGCAGCAUUCUCACGGAAGGCACUGGUGGUGAAAUGGCAGAGCAUCAGCAGAGACCACAAUGUCUGGUGGCAGACUGGGGAUGCCCAACAGACAUGGCGGUACUCAGCAGAUGCCCAGCGAAUGAUGAUGGGUACCCAAUGGCAGAUGAUGGAUGACCACUGGGAGAUGAUGGAUGACCAGCAGAUACAGUGAAUGUUGGCAGGUAAUGGUGGAUACAUACAUGUGUGAUGAAAGCCCAGAAUAGUGAUUUAUUCACAAUCACAUGUGAGACAACUCCUGGGGACUUCUAGAAGUACUUGGAGGGAAAGUGUAUUUUUCUAGAAUUGGAGUAACUUUGUAUGCGCAUGGGGAUAAUAAGCUAGUGACUUCACGGUAUUGAUAUCAAGGUUGUAUCUUUUGUGCCCACAAGCUGUGAGACCUGUCACAAACUUAAAUGCUUUUAGGGACUAGGCAGGUAAUAUCAGUGAGGAAGACAGCAAGAGGUAAGAAAAUGGGGAGUGGUAGAAAACAUAGCAAAGAUGGAACCUACACACUUUUAAAAGGUAUCCAAUUUACAAAGUUUAAAAUCAUUGGCUAAGCUAAAAGAAAACACACCUGCAGGCAGAAGUCAGAUAAAGGGCUGCCAGUUCGUGACCUUUGGUUUAGGUGAACACUAAGUAUCAAUGUCCUAGAGCUUAAUCUAUCAUUUAUCUAGGAAUGUGGUAUUACCUUUACACAAAAUAUCAUUUCAUUUUGAGAAUGAACUCCAGGGAUACAAAUUUUGGAGAUAUUUUAUAUAUAUGAGAAGAUUGUUUUCUAUUUGGUGUUUCUUAGGCCUGUGUUUAAUAAUCAGUUGUGCCACUGGCAAGUUCUGAAGUCUUAGGCACAUUAUUUAACUUCUCUAAACGUUAGUUUCUUUAUCUUUAAAAUAUGAAAAAAAAAUCAUAGGUAUCAUUUGUGUGGAUUAAAUGAGUUAAUAUAGGCAAAAUUCUUUGCAGAGUGCCUGGGAAAUAGCAUGUUCUCAAUGAUAUUUAUGGUGCAUGUGAAGAUGAAAUGCAGUAUUGUAGUUCAGUGCCUUAGAGAGUUACUAAUCAACAAAUCCUUUCCAAUUCUCAUUAAUAUACUUAAAGAGUCGGUUAAUUUUCUUUGUACAUAGACAAUCCUAUGAUAUAUUUUGGUAACAACUAACUCUUUUAUAACUUCCACAGGAAUUUUAGCUACUGGACUUAUUUCUGAUGAACAGAUUUCUCAACUCAAGUGAACAGAGGACCAAACCCAAUACACUUACCUUCUCAAAGGAUCCAAAUUGAAUAUUUAGUAUUUGUACGGUGUAAAAUGGACUACUAUUUAGCCUUAAAAAAGAAUGAAAUUCUGCAAUAUGUGACAGCAUGGAUAAACCUUGAACACAUUAUGCUAAGUGAAAAAAGCUACUCACAGAAAGACAAAGACUGCAUGAUUCCACUUAUAUGAGAAACAUGGAUUGUAGACUGCAUGAAGAGGAAUAGCUGUCCUUGAGUGCUUAUUAUGUGCCAGGCACUUAGCUUGGCAACAUUUAAAAAGAUAACUUAGAAUAUAUUUAUUCAAGAUGAUGAGCCACUUUUUCCUUCUUUCUAUAAGAGAUGGUACUGGGUAUGUGUACUGCCUAGAACACAGGAGUGGGAGCAUGUUUCUGUCACUGUUCCAUUCUGUACAUUGUAAGACGACUGUCAUUGUUCACAAAUGACAGUCAACAACAGAGUAUCUAUGUAUGAUUUUAAUAUAUUAUAAAAUGUCUCUUUUGUUUUUGAAGACUCUGCUACUGAUAUAUUUAAUAAACAUGAUACACACAGCCAAUUCCUUAAGUCACACAGUUUGCUUUUUUCUUCAUUUCCCAAAUGCUACAAGUAAAAUAAUUAACUUUAUGAGCGUUUACUAUGAUACCUGACACAAAUUUAUGACAUAAUUUGAGAUUGAAAAAUUAAUAAAAUUGUACUUACCGUAAAGGAUUGCAAGCAGAGACAGUGGCAUGACAAGUAGUCCCACCAGCAUAUCAGCAAUGGCUAGGGACAUUAAGAAGUAGUUGGUGGCAUUGUGCAGUUUCUUUUCCAAGCUUACUGCCAUGAUAACGAGAAUGUUGCCACCUAUUGUCAGGAUUAUUAUUAUGACGAUUGAAAGUGCUGGCCAGUUUUGUACCCCGUCUGGGAAUUUGAAGCGUCCACCAUCGGAGGUAUUGAAAAUGUCAGUUACUAUAGCUGCAACUGGGCUCACAGAAAUAUCGCAUUGCCAAACCAAUAGGCCAAUUAGGUGCACACUGAAAAGUAAGAAAAAAAUAAUCAGGCACAUAUUAUAUUGCUUAUACCUAACAAAUUGCUUAUACAAAAUGAUUGCUUUUAACAAUCAUUAUCAUCAUCAUUAUCAUCACUUCUACUCUCUUAAUUAAACCUCGGUAUUCUUUCUAUCCAAAGAAUACUUUUAUUGAGUGCUUAUGAUGAAUCAGGCACUUAGCUUACUGAAAUAUAUAUGUAUAAUCGCAUUUGAUCUCAUACAACAACUUUGUGAGGUUAGUACUGAUUUAUAUCCAAUAUGUAGAUGAAGAGACUAAGGUUCAGAGAGGUUAAGUACCUUUUUCAAGGCAAUACAGACAGUAAGCGGCAGGGGUAGGUCCACGCUCAGAUGUCACUGAUUUCAAAGUCUGUGUUUUAAAUUUUCACUCUACACAAACAAUCUGAAACCACAGUACUGUUUGAUUUGCUGUAAUCAAACAAUACUGUGUUUAUUUUUUAUAAAUACAGGUCUAUUCUUUAUAUUUUUAAAAUAUUAAUUUCUUCUAGAUAUCCUCUGAAACAACUGACAACAGAAUGAGAAGGGAUUUUCUUUUAAGUAUGCAGUACCCUGACAAGAAAAUUGAAGUUGCCUUCUUUUAAUCCAAAGCCAAGAAGGAAUGAGUUCCCAUCGGACCAACUUCAGGCAAGAUUUUGGAUGAGGCACAGUGGGUUUUGGCAAUAGCACAUAUUCAUUUCUUUCUAGAACUCUUCUUACCUUCUCACGGUUGCAGAGUGACCUUAUGCUGGUCCGUAGUUUCUUAAUAUCUGUGCUAUAAAUUUUCCUUCUACCUGACACUCUACCCAUUUCUGUUCUAUGCCUUCUGGGCCUUGUUCUAGGCUAGAAGAUGAUUUGAGGUGACGAUUAAUUGAUAUGGGUUUGCUGCUUUCCUAUGCCAGAAGUGAAAUCUCUUAAGUCAUUUAAAAUGUACAUUUCACAUGAUGGUACUUCAGUAGAUUUUACUAAUAGGAAUUUCAGGCCAGGUGGCAGACUAAUGCAAGAGAAGUGGGCGUGGCUAUGUUUUGCACAUUUCAAAUUCAUUUCCCCCACUGGUGAUAUGAGAUUUAUUCAGGUUACAUAAAGUGUCCUCUCAAAGUCUAAGUUCCUGAAGUGUCUAAGAAAACUAACAUGUAUUUUCCUUAAUAAAAUAGACAAGACAGACAAACAUAUUCAAUAUUUCUUUCUUAAAAGCAAGGAUUAUUAUCCAUAAAUGACUGUCUUAUGUGUAUUCUAUCUUCAGUAAUAUCUAAUGAAUAUUAAGCAGCAACUAUACUAUAUGUAGUGGUUGUUAAAACUUGGCAUUAUUUAUAGAGGAAAAAAUUUCCUCUACUGGUACAAUAUGUGCUGAACAAUUUUCAAUGCUAGACAGUUGAAGUAAGAUUCUUUUGGGAAUUGGGGAGAUGGAAUACAUGACAAUACAACAUCCAGAGUCUAUGAGUUUUCCAUGUAAAUGCUUUUAUUUCAUUAUCUCAUUCACUUGUUCUUUGAACUAAAAGUAUUAUCUCCAUACAGGCAAAAUAUAUGUGUAAUUUGAUUGACUCAUUACUUACUAUCAAUCAUCAGAGAAACUUGCAGUAUUAAAACUAGAUGAUUAUGAUUAUUGUAAUCAUAUCAUCUCUAUAAUAUUAUACACACACACCAUCUUUUCUGAAUUGAGUGGAACACUAAGCCUGAAAAAUUAUUGGCAUUAUUUAAACAAGUAAAAAUAUUGUAAUAAUUUUCUAGUAUAUUUAAUUAUUAUUUCUCUUAAUACCUUGUUAAUAUACUUCUAUGUAUUUUAAGAUAAUGAAGAAAUCAUAAAAAUAUUUUGACUUUCUACAAGAAAUAGAAAACUA